UAGAAAGUUGGGCUGUUGAGACC
rnacentral:miRNA from 1 species